UACAGAGGCCCCAAGCGUUACUGAGAAUCACUGGGUUUAAAGGGUGCGUAGGUGGCGCGUUAAGUCCGUUGUGAAAGCCCUGGGCUCAACCCAGGAACUGCUUCGGAUACUGGCGCGCUUGAGGCUAGUAGGGGUCACUGGAACUGACGGUGGAGCGGUGAAAUGCGUAGAUAUCGGAAGGAACACCAGUGGCGAAAGCGGCUUCCUGGUCCGACACCGACGUUCAGGCACGAAAGCGUGGGGAGCAAACAGG
rnacentral:rRNA from 1 species